UUGUCUUUUAAAUGAAGACCUGUAUGAAUGGCACAACGAGGGCUUAACUGUCUCCUUUUUCCAGUCAAUGAAAUUGAUCUUCCCGUGCAGAAGCGGGAAUACCUACAUAAGACGAGAAGACCCUAUGGAGCUUUAGACACCAGAAUAGAUUAUGUUAAGCACCCCUAAUAAAAGAAUAAAACUAAUUAACCCCUAUUCUUAAUGUCUUUGGUUGGGGCGACCGCGGGGAAACAAAAAACCCCCAUGUGGAUUGGGAACACCUCCCUCCUACAACCCAGAGUUACAACUCAAAGUAACAGAAUUUCUGACCAACUAUGAUCCGGCACUAGCCGAUCAACGGACCGAGUUACCCUAGGGAUAACAGCGCAAUCCUCUUUUAGAGCCCAUAUCGACAAGAGGGUUUACGACCUCGAUGUUGGAUCAGGACAUCCUAAU
rnacentral:rRNA from 1 species